rnacentral:rRNA from 1 species
AUGAACGCUGGCGGCGUGCCUAAUACAUGCAAGUCGAGCGAACAGACGAGGAGCUUGCUCCUCUGACGUUAGCGGCGGACGGGUGAGUAACACGUGGAUAACCUACCUAUAAGACUGGGAUAACUUCGGGAAACCGGAGCUAAUACCGGAUAAUAUAUUGAACCGCAUGGUUCAAUAGUGAAAGACGGUUUUGCUGUCACUUAUAGAUGGAUCCGCGCCGCAUUAGCUAGUUGGUAAGGUAACGGCUUACCAAGGCAACGAUGCGUAGCCGACCUGAGAGGGUGAUCGGCCACACUGGAACUGAGAGACGGUCCAGACUCCUACGGGAGGCAGCAGUAGGGAAUCUUCCGCAGUGGGCGAAAGCCUGACGGAGCAACGCCGCGUGAGUGAUGAAGGUCUUCGGAUCGUAAAACUCUGUUAUUAGGGAAGAACAAAUGUGUAAGUAACUAUGCACGUCUUGACGGUACCUAAUCAGAAAGCCACGGCUAACUACGU